rnacentral:rRNA from 1 species
UACGGAGGGUGCAAGCGUUAUCCGGAUUCAUUGGGCUUAAAGGGUGCGUAGGUGGGCAGGUAAGUCAGGGGUGAAAUCUCCAAGCUUAACUUGGAAACUGCCGUUGAUACUAUCUGUCUUGAAUAUUGUGGAGGUGAGCGGAAUAUGUCAUGUAGCGGUGAAAUGCUUAGAUAUGACAUAGAACACCCAUUGCGAAGGCAGCUAACUGCGUGAAAAUUGACGCUGAGGCGCGAAAGCGUGGGGAGCAAACAGG